rnacentral:rRNA from 1 species
UUAAGUUAACAAGGGCGCAUGGUGAAUGCCUUGGCACUAGGAGCCGAUGAAGGACGGGACUAACACCGAUAUGCUUCGGGGAGCUGUACGUAAGCUAUGAUCCGGAGAUUUCCGAAUGGGGCAACCCAGCAGUUUUAAUCAACUGUUACCACUAGAUGAAUUCAUAGUCUAGUUGGAGGUAAACGCUGUGAACUGAAACAUCUCAUUAGCAGCAGGAAUAUAAAGAAAUUUCGAUUCCCUAAGUAGCGGCGAGCGAACGGGGAACAGCCCAAACCAAAGUGCUUGCACUUUGGGGUUGUAGGACUGAACAUUUGAGUUACCAAAGAACUUGAUAGUCGAAGGAUUUGGGAAAAUCCGCCAUAGAUGGUGAUAGCCCAGUAGAUUAAAUCAAAUUCUCUCAGUUCAGGAUCCUGAGUACGGCGGAACACGUGAAAUUCCGUCGGAAUCCGGGAGGACCAUCUCCCAAGGCUAAAUACUACCUAGUGACCGAUAGUGAACCAGUACCGUGAGGGAAAGGUGAAAAGCACCCCGGGAGGGGAGUGAAAUAGUUCCUGAAACCAUGUGCCUACAAUAAGUCAGAGCGCGUUAAUGCGUGAUGGCGUGCCUUUUGUAGAAUGAACCGGCGAGUUAUGAUCCCGUGCAAGGUUAAGACUAAAAAGUCGGAGCCGUAGCGAAAGCGAGUCUGAAAUGGGCGUUUUGAGUACGAGGUUAUAGACCCGAAACCAGGUGACCUAUCCAUGUCCAGGUUGAAGGUGCGGUAAAACGCACUGGAGGACCGAACCCGUGUAAGUUGAAAAUUGCUGGGAUGAGGUGUGGAUAGCGGUGAAAUUCCAAACGAACUUGGAGAUAGCUGGUUCUCUCCGAAAUAGCUUUAGGGCUAGCCUCGGAAUUAGGAUCAUGGAGGUAGAGCACUAUUUGGACUAGGGGCCCGUCUUGGGUUACUGAAUUCAGAUAAACUCCGAAUGCCAUUGAUUCAUAUCCGGGAGUCAGACGAUGAGUGAUAAGAUCCACCGUCGAAAGGGGAACAGCCCAGACCAUCAGUUAAGGUCCCUAAAUGUAUGCUAAGUGGAAAAGGAUGUGGAGUUGCAUAGACAACUAGGAUGUUGGCUCAGAAGCAGCCACCAUUUAAAGAGUGCGUAAUAGCUCACUAGUCGAGUGAUCCUGCGCCGAAAAUGUACCGGGGCUAAGCAUACUACCGAAACCAUGGAUGCGACCAUUAGGUCGCGUGAUAGGAGAGCGUUCUAAGGGCGGUGAAGCAAGAUCGUGAGGACUUGUGGAGCGCUUAGAAGUGAGAAUGCCGGUAUGAGUAGCGAAAGAUAGGUGAGAAUCCUAUCCACCGAAUGACUAAGGUUUCCUGGGGAAGGCUCGUCCUCCCAGGGUUAGUCGGGACCUAAGUCGAGGCCGAGAGGCGUAGACGAUGGAUAACAGGUUGAGAUUCCUGUACUAGUUAAGUGCGUUUGAGCAAUGGAGGGACGCAGGAGGCUAAGAUGUGCAUUCUGUUGGAUUAGAAUGUCCAAGCAGUAAGUCUUGUGAAGAGUCAAAUGCUUUUCACUUUAAGGACAAGCUGUGAUGGGGAGCGAAAUUUAGUAGCGAAGCGUCUGAUGUCACACUGCCGAGAAAAGCUUCUAGUGAGUACUUAACUACCCGUACCGCAAACCGACACAGGUAGUCGAGGAGAGAAUCCUAAGGUGAGCGAGUGAACUCUCGUUAAGGAACUCGGCAAAAUGACCCCGUAACUUCGGGAGAAGGGGUGCUGAUCGCAAGAUCAGCCGCAGUGAAUAGGCCCAGGCGACUGUUUAUCAAAAACACAGGUCUCUGCAAAAUCGUAAGAUGACGUAUAGGGGCUGACGCCUGCCCGGUGCUGGAAGGUUAAAAGGAUGGGUUAGCUUCGGCGAAGCUCAGAAUUGAAGCCCCAGUAAACGGCGGCCGUAACUAUAACGGUCCUAAGGUAGCGAAAUUCCUUGUCGGGUAAGUUCCGACCCGCACGAAAGGCGUAACGAUCUGGGCACUGUCUCAACGAGAGACUCGGUGAAAUUAUAUUGUCCGUGAAGAUGCGGACUACCCGCGACAGGACGGAAAGACCCCAUGGAGCUUUACUGUAGCUUGAUAUUGAGUGUUUGUACAGCUUGUACAGGAUAGGUAGGAGCCAUAGAAACCGGAACGCUAGUUUCGGUGGAGGCGUUGGUGGGAUACUACCCUCGCUGUAUGACCACUCUAACCCGCACCACUAAUCGUGGUGGGAGACAGUGUCAGGUGGGCAGUUUGACUGGGGCGGUCGCCUCCUAAAAAGUAACGGAGGCGCCCAAAGGUUCCCUCAGAAUGGUUGGAAAUCAUUCGCAGAGUGUAAAGGCACAAGGGAGCUUGACUGCGAGACAGACAGGUCGAGCAGGGACGAAAGUCGGGCUUAGUGAUCCGGUGGUACCGUAUGGAAGGGCCAUCGCUCAACGGAUAAAAGCUACCCUGGGGAUAACAGGCUUAUCUCCCCCAAGAGUCCACAUCGACGGGGAGGUUUGGCACCUCGAUGUCGGCUCAUCGCAUCCUGGGGCUGUAGUCGGUCCCAAGGGUUGGGCUGUUCGCCCAUUAAAGCGGUACGCGAGCUGGGUUCAGAACGUCGUGAGACAGUUCGGUCCCUAUCCGUCGCGGGCGUAGGAAAUUUGAGAGGACCUGUCCUUAGUACGAGAGGACCGGGAUGGACAUACCUCUGGUGUACCAGUUGUGCCGCCAGGCGCAUCGCUGGGUAGCUACGUAUGGAUGUGAUAAACGCUGAAAGCAUCUAAGUGUGAAACACACCUCGAGAUGAGAUUUCCCAUUNCUUUAUGGAAGUAAGACCCCUGAAAGAUGAUCAGGUAGAUAGGUUAGAAGUGGCAGUGCGGUGACGCAUGAAGCGGACUAAUACUAAUCGGUCGAGGACUUAACCAA